rnacentral:ncRNA from 2 species
GCCCAAAGCUAGGGGAGUUUCGACUGAGAGCGGUAUUGCCGCGACCCUUCGUACCUGAUCCGGAUAAUGCCGGCGUAGGGAAGCGCGACCGACUGAUU